CCUCGGUGAACGAUUCCAAGCAUUUAUUUCAACUGACUUUUCUGUUUUGACCUCGUCCUGUUUCUUGUGUUCGACUCAUCGCUGCCUGCCCCUGGACCAUUGCUCUGAUUCUGGGUCAUUGAUGGUAAAAAAAAACUUAAGAUAACCCCAGCGGACUGAAUGAAUUUACUUUCUACUUGCUGACAGGAUAAAAGAUCUCCAUAUCCACUGAAGACAACUGACAGGAAGUGGACAGGACGUGAAGUGGGAGAGAGAGAGGGUGAUGGGAUCAGGAAAGGUCCUUGAGCCAGAACUUGAAGUCAGGACAACUGGAGCACAAUGGCAAUGAUAAUGUGAGCGCGCUGUCUGAAGGCUUUUUGGUUGCAAACGUGAUUUCCCAUUUUAAUACUAACAGCACUGUUCUUUUAACCUAAUUA